CUCAGCCCGGGCGGUAGGGGCUAGGCACCCAUACCCGUUCCGCCCCCUCCCGCAGAUCCCCUUGCAGUCUCCGCCGACCUGCCCGGCGAGGAGAGGACGCAGCAACUCCCCCGCCACCCCGGACUUACCUCGGUGUCUGUUGCUCCAUGCCCCAACCUGCGGCCCGCUCCCCCUACGUACCAGCCCGGCCUCGGCACUCACCGGAGGUUUCGGGCCAAAAAGCUGAAAUAAAGAACGAAGUCAAUAAUAAUAUGAAGUGUAUGAGAAAUAGCUGGAAAAUUCAUCAUCCAUGACUUGAAGAAAUUGACGUUUUACAAGUUAUAUUUUCGGUGAAGAGGCACUUUCAAGAUCCUUCUCUGAGACCUGCACCAAUAAGACUAUACCAAUGUUCAGUUGAAACAUCAGACACUGUUCUGGUUAUGAUGGACACCACAGUGAAAGAGACCUGGUCCCUGCCUUGAGGAAACCCAACUGCUGGUAGAGAGCUCAGAGUAAUGAUUAGGAUGCAAUAUGAGGGAUGCAGUAAUUGGGAUCUACUUCUGGGAACCGUCACAGCCUGAG
rnacentral:lncRNA from 1 species